rnacentral:rRNA from 1 species
ACUCCUACGGGAGGCAGCAGUGGGGAAUAUUGCGCAAUGGGGGAAACCCUGACGCAGCAAUGCCGAGUGAGUGAGGAAGGCCUUCGGGUUGUAAAGCUCUGUCAGAUGGGAAUAAUUGCUUAGGUCCAAUAGGCCUAAGUUUGAAGGUACCUUCAAAGGAAGCACCGGCUAACUUGCGUGCCAGCAGCCGCGGUAAUACGAAGGGGUGCAAGCGUUGUUCGGAUUUAUUGGGCGUAAAGCGCGGCGCAGGCGGAUUGUUAAGUCAAGAUGUGAAAUCUCGGGGCUCAACCCCGAAACUGCGUCUGAAACUGCCAA